AGUGAACGCUGGCGGUAGGCCUAACACAUGCAAGUCGAACGGCAGCACAGUAAGAGCUUGCUCUUACGGGUGGCGAGUGGCGGACGGGUGAGGAAUACAUCGGAAUCUACUUUUUCGUGGGGGAUAACGUAGGGAAACUUACGCUAAUACCGCAUACGACCUACGGGUGAAAGCAGGGGAUCUUCGGACCUUGCGCGAUUGAAUGAGCCGAUGUCGGAUUAGCUAGUUGGGGGGGUAAUGGCCCACCAAGGCGACGAUCCGUAGCUGGUCUGAGAGGCUGAUCGGCCACACUGGAACUGAGACACGGUCCAGACUCCUACGGGAGGCAGCAGUGGGGAAUAUUGGACAAUGGGCGCAAGCCUGAUCCAGCCAUACCGCGUGGGUGAAGAAGGCCUUCGGGUUGUAAAGACCUUUUGUUGGGAAAGAAAAGCAGCAGGUUAAUACGCCGCUGUUCUGACGGUACCCAAAGAAUAAGCACCGGCUAACUUCGUG
rnacentral:rRNA from 1 species